AAUUACCCAAUCCUGACACAGGGAGGUAGUGACAAGAAAUAACAAUACAGGGCUUAAAGUCUUGUAAUUGGAAUGAUGGGAAUCUAAACCCUUCCCAGAGCAUCAAUUGGAGGGCAAGUCUGGUGCCAGCAGCCGCGGUAAUUCCAGCUCCAAUAGCGUAUAUUAAAGUUGUUGCAGUUAAGAAGCUCGUAGUUGAAUUUCUGCCUUGUCAUUAAUCUCGCUUCCGAGCGUUUUUUUAUUGACUUGGCAUCUUCUGGAUUUGGUGCCUUCGGGUACUAUUUUCCAGGAUUUACUUUGAGAAAACUAGAGUGUUUCAAACAGGCAUUCGCCUUGAAUACUACAGCAUGGAAUAAUGAAGUAGGACUUUGGUUCUAUUUUGUUGGUUAUUGAGCCAGAGUAAUGGUUAAUAGGAGCAGUUGGGGGCAUUCGUAUUUAA
rnacentral:rRNA from 1 species